UGCCUUAGUAGCGGCGAGCGAAGCGGCAACAGCUCAAAUUUGAAAUCUGGCUACUUUGUAGUCCGAGUUGUAAUUUGCAGAGGAUGCUUUUGGUGAGGUGCCUUCCGAGUUCCCUGGAACGGGACGCCAGAGAGGGUGAGAGCCCCGUACGGUUGGACACCAAACCUUUGUAUAGCUCCUUCAACGAGUCGAGUAGUUUGGGAAUGCUGCUCUAAAUGGGAGGUAUAUCUCUUCUAAAGCUAAAUACCGGCUAGAGACCGAUAGCGCACAAGUAGAGUGAUCGAAAGAUGAAAAGCACUUUGAAAAGAGAGUUAAACAGCACGUGAAAUUGUUGAAAGGGAAGCGCCUAUGACCAGACUUGUUUCUGUCAGUUUUGCUUGUUUUCGGACUUGUUUACUCUGUCAGUACAGGCCAACAUCAGUUUGUUGUUUGGGAGAAAGGCUUAGGGAAUGUGGCUCCCUCGGGAGUGUUAUAGCCCUUUGCAUAAUACCAUUCGGCAGACUGAGGACCGCGCUUCGGCAAGGAUGUUGGCGUAAUGGUCAUCAGCGACCCGUCUUGAAACACGGACCAAGGAGUCAACCUUAUGUGCGAGUGUUUGGGUGUAAAACCCCAGCGCGUAAUGAACGUGAACGUAGGUGAGAGCUUCGGCGCAUCAUCGACCGAUUCUGAUGUUCUCGGAUGGAUUUGAGUAAGAGCAUAUAGGGUUGGACCCGAAAGAAGGUGAACUAUGCUUGUAUAGGGUGAAGCCAGAGGAAACUCUGGUGGAGGCUCGCAGCGGUUCUGACGUGCAAAUCGAUCGUCAAAUAUGAGCAUGGGGGCGAAAG
rnacentral:rRNA from 4 species